rnacentral:rRNA from 1 species
GAUGAACGCUGGCGGCGUGCCUAAUACAUGCAAGUCGAACGCAUAGCGAAAGGUGCUUGCACCUUUCAAGUGAGUGGCGAACGGGUGAGUAACACGUGGACAACCUGCCUCAAGGCUGGGGAUACCAUUUGGAAACAGAUGCUAAUACCGAAUAAAACUUAGUGUCGCAUGACACAAAGUUAAAAGGCGCUUCGGCGUCACCUAGAGAUGGAUCCGCGGUGCAUUAGUUAGUUGGUGGGGUAAAGGCCUACCAAGACAAUGAUGCAUAGCCGAGUUGAGAGACUGAUCGGCCACAUUGGGACUGAGACACGGCCCAAACUCCUACGGGAGGCUGCAGUAGGGAAUCUUCCACAAUGGGCGAAAGCCUGAUGGAGCAACGCCGCGUGUGUGAUGAAGGCUUUCGGGUCGUAAAGCACUGUUGUAAGGGAAGAACAGCUAGGAUAGGAAAUGAUUAUAGUUUGACGGUACCAUACCAGAAAGGGACGGCUAAAUACGUG